GCCGCGGUAAGACGUAGGGCGCGAGCGUUGUCCGGAUUUAUUGGGCGUAAAGAGCUCGUAGGCGGCUUGUCGCGUCGUCCGUGAAAACCUGGGGCUCAACUCCAGGCUUGCGGUCGAUACGGGCAGGCUAGAGUUCGGUAGGGGAGACUGGAAUUCCUGGUGUAGCGGUGAAAUGCGCAGAUAUCAGGAGGAACACCGGUGGCGAAGGCGGGUCUCUGGGCCGAUACUGACGCUGAGGAGCGAAAGCGUGGGGAGCGAACAGGAUUAGAUACCCUGGUAGUCCACGCUGUAAACGUUGGGCGCUAGGUGUGGGGGGCCUCUCCGGUUCUCUGUGCCGCAGCUAACGCAUUAAGCGCCCCGCCUGGGGAGUACGGCCGCAAGGCUAAAACUCAAAGGAAUUGACGGGGGCCCGCACAAGCGGCGGAGCAUGCGGAUUAAUUCGAUGCAACGCGAAGAACCUUACCUGGGUUUGACAU
rnacentral:rRNA from 1 species